rnacentral:rRNA from 1 species
AGUCGAGCGGUAGGCCCUUCGGGGUACACGAGCGGCGGACGGCUGAGUAACGCGUGGGAACAUGCCCCAAAGUGAGGGAUAAGCUCGAGAAAUCGAGUCUAAUACCGCAUAUGGUCUUCGGAUUAAAGGAUUUAUCCGCUUUGGGAGUGGCCCGCGUUCGAUUAGGUAGUUGGUGAGGUAAAGGCUCACCAAGCCUACGAUCGAUAACUGGUCUGAGAGGAUGAUCAGUCAGACUGGAACUGAGAUACGGUCCAGACUCCUACGGGAGGCAGCAGUGAGGAAUCUUCCACAAUGGGCGAAAGCCUGAUGGAGCGACGCCGCGUGCAGGAUGAAGGCCUUCGGGUUGUAAACUGCUUUUAUAAGUGAAGAAUAUGACGGUAACUUAUGAAUAAGCACCGGCUAACUACGUGCCAGCAGCCGCGGUCAUACGUAGGGUGCAAGCAUUAUCCGGAGUGACUGGGCGUAAAGAGUUGCGUAGGUGGUUUAUUAAGUGAAUAGUGAAAUUUGGCGGCUCAACCGUACAAACUAUUAUUCAAACUGAUAAACUCGAGAAUGGUAGAGGUAACUGGAAUUUCUUGUGUAGGAGUGAAAUCCGUAGAUAUAAGAAGGAGCACCAAUGGCGUAGGCAGGUUACUGGACCAUUUCUGACACUGAGGCACGAAAGCGUGGGGAGCGAACCGGAUUAGAUACCCGGGUAGUCCACGCUGUAAACGAUGGAUACUAGCUGUUGGAGGUAUCGACCCCUUCAGUAGCGAAGCUAACGCGUUAAGUAUCCCGCCUGUGGAGUACGGUCGCAAGACUAAAACAUAAAGGAAUUGAC